UGGGCUAUUCUGAAUCUGACUUGUAGCAUCUAGUUUGAGAAGUGUCAUGCAGUCAUUUGUUUUGUUUGCACUAAUAAAGUGCUAUGUAAUUAUAUAGUAUUUAAAUGCGUAUUAGGAUUUAGGUAUAAUCCAAUAUCUUUGUGGAGUGUAGAGGGUGAGUUUGGUGUAACGGAAACAACCUUUUCUCUUUAUUUACAAGAGUAAGGUUGUGUACAUCUAUCAUCUUUAGAUUUGACUAAUUGGGAGUUUUGUACAGUCGGUUACCCAUUAUCUUUUGGAGUCACCAACAGUUACAUAUGGAACAA
rnacentral:lncRNA from 1 species